UACAGAGGUCCCGAGCGUUGUUCGGAUUCACUGGGCGUAAAGGGUGCGCAGGUGGGUUGGCAAGUUUGAUGUGAAAGCCCCGGGCUUAACCCGGGAAUGGCAUUGAAUACUACUGAUCUGGAGGAUCGGAGGGGGGACUGGAAUUCUUGGUGUAGCAGUGAAAUGCGUAGAUAUCAAGAGGAACACCAGUGGCGAAGGCGAGUCCCUGGACGAUACCUGACACUGAGGCACGAAAGCCAAGGGAGCAAACAGG
rnacentral:rRNA from 1 species